rnacentral:rRNA from 1 species
UACGUAGGGUGCAAGCGUUAAUCGGAAUUACUGGGCGUAAAGCGUGCGCAGGCGGCUUUGCAAGACAGAUGUGAAAACUCGAGGCUCAACCUCGAGACGUCGGUGGAAACCGCAUGGCUAGAGUCCGGAAGAGGAGAGUGGAAUUCCCGGUGUAGCGGUGAAAUGCGCAGAUAUCGGGAAGAACACCCGUGGCGAAGGCGGCUCUCUGGGACGGUACUGACGCUGAGACGCGAAAGCGUGGGGAGCGAACAGG